rnacentral:rRNA from 1 species
GUUUGUUUGGAGUUAUAAAGAAUUUAACCUGCCCCCUGAUUUUAAAGGGCCGCAGUAUUAUAACUGUGCAAAGGUAGCAUAAUCAUUAGGUUUUUAAUUGAAAUCUUGUAUGAAUGGUUGGACAAAAGAAAAACUCUCUUUAUAUUAAGUUUUGAAUUUAACUUUUAAGUGAAAAGGCUUAAAUGUUCUAAAGGGACGAUAAGACCCUAUAAAACUUUACAUUGUCAUUAAUUUUGAUUGAAUUUGUAGAUAAAAAUUUUAUUUGAUUAUUUGUUAUGUUGGGGAGAUGUAAGUUUUUUUUAACUGCAAUUAUACAAUUAUUAAUGAAGUAGAAGAUCCUUAAAGAUUAGUAGAUUAAGUUACUUUAGGGAUAACAGUGUAAUUUCUUUUGAGAGUUCUUAUCGAAAGAGAAGGUUGCAACCUCGAUGUUGAAUUAAAAUAUCUAUAUAAUGGAGAGAUUAUAUAAGAAGGUCUGUUCGACCUUGAAAUUU